ACCGCCUUGGCAGCCCUUUCUUCCUCUGAUUUAGUUGCUGCGAGGCUCCCCCCUCAAGCCGGCCUGUGGGCUUGAUGCUGGCCAGCUGAGGCCUCGUCUGCAGCUCCAUCCGGAGGGAGCUCCUGGACGAAGGGCCUCGUGCCCACGGCUCACUGCAGCCGGCCAGCCCAGGAGCAGCCCAGCACCCCCGGCUCCUUCCCGAGGCCCUCCUCUUCCCCUUUCCAGCCCGCCUGCUGCUGCCCUCCCUCCCCCCCUUGCAAAGUAGCUCCAGCUGUCAGUGGCCCAGAUUGGAAGUGCAGCGCACGUCAGCUCCAAUUGAAGGAAGCGUGGCGGGGAAGGGGAGAGCGCCGCUUUGCACAAGCCCAGACACCCCUCCGCAAUGGCGGGAGCUGACUCCCAGCCCCAAAAGCCAAGGGGCCCUCGGAUCCGCGGGAGCGAGCAGAGACAGCCGCCCUCGCGCACGCACUCCUGCCUUCUGGCUGCCCGUCCACGGCCACCUGCCCUUGUGACCCUGAGGACAGGAAGCAGCACACAAGCAGAGCCGUUUCAUCAACCUUCUGGGGGCAUCUUCCGGGGGCUGGAGGGAAGCCCGUGUGAGCUCAUCCUAUGUGUCAUGUUCACCUAUUGAUAUGUUAGCUAUAAUUUUUAUAUGGUUAUUCUAUACGGUUAUGUUAUACAAUACUGAUAAUAUUGAAGUUUUUGCUAUUCUGUAGUGCUCUGCUACUGUUGCUUGUGGAUCUGAGGAUGACUAUUGAUGCCUGUUGUUUAUAUCAAUGUCGUUCGCCGCCCUGAGCCCUGUGGGGAUAGGGCGGGAUACAAGUUGAAUAAGGAAAUAAAUUAAAAAAUUGUAA